CCAACCAAGUUCAUCCAAGGGCUUGCCAUUCGGUCUGUGAUCGGCAUUGUGCUGGGCGUGACCUGGUUCGGACAGGCUGGAAACACUCAGGAGACGA
rnacentral:sRNA from 1 species